AGCGGAUGCUGAAAGCGUGACUGCGUCUCGGCUUCGCGGUCCCGCCCCUCUGUGGCCAGGAAAGCUGGCCAGGGCGCUCCGAUCUAGGGAGGCUGCCGGCUUCGUCAUCCUCUUGCUUCAGAGAGGUACGUCCUGAAGCGAAGCCCUUCCUCCCAGAACCACGUCUCGCAGCGCCUGUGGAUUGAUCCCUGCUUGUACCUCUCUUCUCUUUCCUCUCAUUAAAAGCAAUUGUUCACUGG